AUUGAACGCUGGCGGCAGGCCUAACACAUGCAAGUCGAGCGGAGCGGCGGACGGGUGAGUAAUGCCUAGGAAUCAGCCUGGCAGUGGGGGCUAACGUCCGGCAACGGGCGGUAAUAAAGCACACUAUCCGAUGAGUCUAGGUGGGAUUAGCUAGUUGGUGGGGUAAAGGCCUACCAAGGCGACGAUCCGUACCUGGUCUGAGAGGAUGAUCAGUCACACUGGAACUGAGACACGGUCCAGACUCCUACGGGAGGCAGCAGUGGGGAAUAUUGGACAAUGGGCGAAAGCCUGAUCCAGCCAUGCCGCGUGUGUGAAGAAGGCCUUCGGGUUGUAAAGUACUUUCAGCGGGGAGGCGUUACCCGCAGAAGAAGCACCGGCUAACUCCGUGCCAGCAGCCGCGGUAAUAC
rnacentral:rRNA from 1 species